rnacentral:rRNA from 1 species
AACCAUCUUGCAUUUCUUGCGCCUUCGGGCAGAGAACUGCGUUUGGAUCAGUGGCGGACGGGUGAGUAACGCGUGAGUAACCUGCCUUCAAGAGGGGGACAACACACCGAAAGGUGUGCUAAUACCGCAUAAUAUAGUGAUAUCGCAUGGUAUUGCUAUCAAAGAUUUAUCGCUUGAAGAUGGACUCGCGUCUGAUUAGCUAGUAGGUAAGGUAACGGCUUACCUAGGCGACGAUCAGUAGCCGGACUGAGAGGUCGAUCGGCCACAUUGGGACUGAGACACGGCCCAGACUCCUACGGGAGGCAGCAGUGGGGGAUAUUGCGCAAUGGGGGAAACCCUGACGCAGCAAUGCCGCGUGAAGGAUGACGGCCUUCGGGUUGUAAACUUCUUUGAUGAGGGAAGAAACAAAUGACGGUACCUCAAAAACAAGCCACGGCUAACUACGUGCCAGCAGCCGCGGUAAU